AUUGAACGCUGGCGGCAGGCCUAACACAUGCAAGUCGAACGAGUGGCGGACGGGUGAGUAAUGUCUGGGAAACUGCCCGAUGGAGGGGGAUAACUACUUGAAACGGUAGCUAAUACCGCAUACCAUCGGAUGUGCCCAGGUGGGAUUAGCUCGUAGGUGGGGUAACGGCUCACCUAGGCGACGAUCCCUAGCUGGUCUGAGAGGUAGACCAGCCACACGGGAACUGAGACACGGUGCAGACUCCUACGGGAGGAAGCAGUGGGGAAUAUUGUACAAUGGGCGCAAGCCUGAUGCAGCCAUGCCGCGGGUAUGAAGAAGGCCUUAGGGUUGUAAAGUACUUUCAGCGGGGAGGCGUUAACCGCAGAAGAAGCACCGGCUAACUCCGUGCCAGCAGCCGCGGUAAUUC
rnacentral:rRNA from 1 species